AUUGAACGCUGGCGGCAGGCUUAACACAUGCAAGUCGAGCGGAGAUGAGGUGCUUGCACCUUAUCUUAGCGGCGGACGGGUGAGUAAUGCUUAGGAAUCUGCCUAUUAGUGGGGGACAACAUUCCGAAAGGAAUGCUAAUACCGCAUACGUCCUACGGGAGAAAGCAGGGGAUCUUCGGACCUUGCGCUCAUAGAUGAGGCUAAGUCGGAUUAGCUAGUUGGUGGGGUAAAGGCCUACCAAGGCGACGAUCUGUAGCGGGUCUGAGAGGAUGAUCCGCCACACUGGGACUGAGACACGGCCCAGACUCCUACGGGAGGCAGCAGUGGGGAAUAUUGGACAAUGGGGGGAACCCUGAUCCAGCCAUGCCGCGUGUGUGAAGAAGGCCUUAUGGUUGUAAAGCACUUUAAGCGAGGAGGAGGCUACUGAGACUAAUACUCUUGGAUAGUGGACGUUACUCGCAGAAUAAGCACCGGCUAACUCUGUGCCAGCCACCGCAGUAAGAC
rnacentral:rRNA from 1 species